GAUGAAGAACGUAGCGAAAUGCGAUAACUAGUGUGAAUUGCAGAUUUCAGUGAAUCAUCGAGUCUUUGAACGCACAUUGCGCCCCCUGGUAUUCCGGGGGGCAUGCCUGUCCGAGCGUCAUUGCUGCCCUCAAGCACGGCUUGUGUGUUGGGCCCCGUCCUCCGAUCCCGGGGGACGGGCCCGAAAGGCAGCGGCGGCACCGCGUCCGGUCCUCGAGCGUAUGGGGCUUUGUCACCCGCUCUGUAGGCCCGGCCGGCGCUUGCCGAUCAACCCAAAUUUUUAUCCGGGUUGACCUCGGAUCAGGUAGGGAUACCCGCUGAACUUAAGCAUAUCAAUAAGCGGAGGA
rnacentral:misc_RNA from 1 species